AGUUAAUGAGCUUGAAUAAGCAUAUGUUUUGAAAACAUAAUAUAGAAAUAAAAACUUUCUAUUAGCUU
rnacentral:tRNA from 1 species